ensembl:lncRNA
AUUUUAUGCACCAGUGCAGGGGGAAUAUUGCAUACAAGACUCAGAGUAUGAGCUGGCAGGAACCUUGCAGGGAAGAAGCAUGGGGCAGGCAGGCAGGAUGCGCUGUGCCCUUGCCCCACUGCUGAUGCUUAUCUGUCCUCUGUGUUAGGUGAUCCAUGCAGCUUCUGGCCAGAGCCAGCAAGGCAUAAAGGCACUUUUGAGGAAUACGUUGGAUUUUUUUCCAUGCUUUCAAAGCUGAGGUGUACAGAAACCUAGAGAAAAUGAUGUCUCCUUGAAAUCUCAGAGAGGUAUUUCUGUUGCUCUGCAGGGGCAUGGACACCUCGUAUCGGAACAGCAGGUGGCAGAUGGGGUUGCGUUGCAGCUGGUUUGCACUACAUGAAUCAAGGAGAGGGGCAGCAGCAGGGAUCCCUGCCCCAGCAGCACUCCCAGACAGGAGGCAACCAGACCUCCCUGGUCACGUUCAGGUCCUAAUACAUCAAAAAUCUACCCUUGGAAGCAUACAUCCCUGCUCAAACAUUCGAAAUACCAGGAUUUCACCAUGGGGCAGAUCGAGUGCAACUUCGUAGGAAUUCUUCCCAGGUGCUGAGGUUCUGCAGCCACCACCAGCUACUGGUGCUGGAGGGACACUUCCAGCAGCACCAGCGUCCCUCAAGGCACCUGGCUGCAGGAUUACACAGCAGUUGUGCUUGCUGACCUCGCAGGGGAAACCCCAGAGUUGGAUCCAUCUGACUCAAACCAUCUAAAAGGCAUAAAUCUAAACUUAGGGCAACACAUUUUAAAACCAUCCUAUUACAAAUGCUCAGCCACUUUGCUUCAAAACACUUCAGCAGUGCUGUAUUCAGUAACACAAAGAGCCAGGUGUUGUAAUGUCUGAAGUAAAAACUGCAAGGAAAGCUCAUGCACUUCUUUUUGUGUAGGUAAAAGCUGCAGGUGCUUGUGACAUUCUUUCUCAGCCCCUCAUCCCUUUCUCAGGAGAGCUGAGAUACCAUGAAUUUAUGCCUCGAGCCUGCAGGGGAUUUCCCACGGAAAUGACUUGCAAGUACUGUUUCUUCCAGAUGCGGUGAACAGAGGUUUUGAUCAUGAGACUAAUGCUCUCCUGGGCUUAGAGGGACUUUGCAACCAAAAUGAUGACUUCUGCAAACCUUUUCAGCUGCAGAAGAGCGAGCUGAAGGCAAAAAAUUAAAUGCUGUGGCAGCUGCUGACAGUCUUAUGUGAGUGUUAUGUGACAUUCUGGGUAGGUUAUGAAAAGCCAGAGGACUUCCACUGUUCGUCUAGGAUCUCUGUGGGCUUGGAUAUCUAGAGAAAGAGAAACUUGGGAGCAGAAAAGGUGAUAGAAAUGAAAAUAGUAUUCUAAGAGCAGACUUCAGCUUGUGCCUGCAGAGGGACACAAACAACCCCCGAAAGUAGAGGAGGUCAAGAACAUUCCUGCUGAAGGCUUUUAUGGAAACCUGCUGCUCCUGAGAACAACCUGGUGCUGUUUGGAGCUCUGAGGCUUCAACUCCUUUCAGGUGCUCUGUGCCUGUUGCAGAACGUAUUGGUUUUAUAAUGCCAUAAGUCUUCCCUUGAAUGCUACAGAGCAAUUGCCUCAAUCUGGAGGCAGAGGGA